rnacentral:rRNA from 1 species
GAUGAACGCUAGCGACAGGCUUAACACAUGCAAGUCGAGGGGUAACAGGGUAGCAAUACCGCUGACGACCGGCGCACGGGUGAGUAACGCGUAUGCAACCUGCCUAUAACUGGGGAAUAGCUCCCUGAAAGGGGAAUUAACACCGCAUAACACUAUUGAUUCGCAUGGAUUGGUAGUUAAAUGUAGCGAUACAGGUUAUAGAUGGGCAUGCGUGACAUUAGCUAGUUGGUGAGGUAACGGCUCACCAAGGCUACGAUGUCUAGGGGUUCUGAGAGGAAGGUCCCCCAACUGGUGCUGAGACACGGACCAGACUCCUACGGGAGCAGCAGUGAGGAAUAUUGGUCAAUGGGCGCAAGCCUGAACCAGCCAUGUCGCGUGCAGGAAGACUGCCCUAUGGGUUGUAAACUGCUUUUAAGUAGAAGAAACACAUCUACGCGUAGAUGUCUGCCAGUAUACUAUGAAUAAGC